GAUGAACGCUGGCGGCGUGCCUAAUACAUGCAAGUAGAACGCUGAAGGAGGAGCUUGCUCUUCUGGAUGAGUUGCGAACGGGUGAGUAACGCGUAGGUAACCUGCCUGGUAGCGGGGGAUAACUAUUGGAAACGAUAGCUAAUACCGCAUGACAACAGUUAUUGCAUGAUAACUGUUUAAAAGGGGCAACUGCUCCACUACCAGAUGGACCUGCGUUGUAUUAGCUAGUUGGUGAGGUAACGGCUCACCAAGGCGACGAUACAUAGCCGACCUGGGAGGGGGAUCGGCCACCCUGGGACUGAGACACGGCCCAGACUCCUACGGGAGGCAGCAGUAGGGAAUCUUCGGCAAUGGACGGAAGUCUGACCGAGCAACGCCGCGUGAGUGAAGAAGGUUUUCGGAUCGUAAAGCUCGGUUGUAAGAGAAGAACGAGUGUGAGAGUGGAAAGUUCACACUGUGACGGUAUCUUACCAGAAAGAGACGGCUAACUACGUG
rnacentral:rRNA from 1 species